UACGUAGGAUGCAAGCGUUGUCCGGAUUUACUGGGCGUAAAGAGCUCGUAGGCGGGGACGCGCGUCUCGGAGGAAAUUCCAGGGCUCAACCCUGUAGCUUCCCGAGAUACGGCGUCUCUUGAGGGCAGAAGAGGAGAACAGAAUUCCCGGUGUAGCGGUGAAAUGCGUAGAUAUCGGGAGGAAUACCAGUGGCGAAGGCGGUUCUCUGGUCUGUCUCUGACGCUGAGGAGCGAAAGCGUGGGUAGCGAACGGGAUUAGAUACCCGCGUAGUCCCU
rnacentral:rRNA from 1 species